rnacentral:tRNA from 1 species
ACAUUGGUGGUUGAGUGGUAGAAUUCUCGCCCUUCAUGCUGGAGACCUGGGUCUGAUUCCCAGCCAAUGCC